AACCUUCUGUGGUGUAGUUGGUAGCACAUUAACUUAGUACUUAGAAGUCGUAGGUUCGAAUCCCUGUUGGGGUAA